GCGCACCCAGAAACCCUUUGUGAACUUAUACCUUACUGUUGCCUCGGCGCAUGCUGGCCCCCUCGGGGCCCCCUGGAGACAGGGAGCAGGCACGCCGGCGGCCAAGUUAACUCUUGUUUUUACACUGAAACUCUGAGAAAAACACAAAUGAAUCAAAACUUUCAACAACGGAUCUCUUGGUUUUGGCAUCGAUGAAGAACGCAGCGAAAUGCGAUAAGUAAUGUGAAUUGCAGAAUUCAGUGAAUCAUAGAAUCUUUGAACGCACAUUGCGCCCUCUGGUAUUCCGGAGGGCAUGCCUGUUCGAGCGUCAUUUCAACCGUCAAGCAUUGCUUGGUGUUGGGGCAGUGUUUUUUACCGAGCAGGCCCUGAAAUUUAGUGGCGAGCUCCCCGGGACCCCGAGCGCAGUAGUUAAACCCUCGCUCUGGAAGGCCCUGGCGGUCCCCCACAGAUAAACCCCCAACUUCUGAAAAUUUGACCUCGGAUCAGGCAGGAAUACCCGUUCAAAAAAGCUAGUAUAAAAGCGGAGGAGGACAAAACCCGGGAAAUACACAAAUUCGAAGAGCAACUAAUACGUCUCCAGAACACACAGUUAUAUGGUUUUUGG
rnacentral:rRNA from 1 species